rnacentral:rRNA from 1 species
UACAGAGGUGGCAAGCGUUGUUCGGAAUUACUGGGCGUAAAGGGCGCGUAGGCGGCCUUGUAAGUCUCGUGUGAAAGCCCUCGGCUUAACUGAGGAUCUGCACGGGAUACUGCGAGGCUCGAGUUCGGGAGAGGAAAGCGGAAUUCCGGGUGUAGCGGUGGAAUGCGUAGAGAUCCGGAAGAACACCGGUGGCGAAGGCGGUGAGCUGGGCAGUUGCUGACACUGAGACACGAAGGCCAGGGGAGCAAACGGG